rnacentral:lncRNA from 1 species
GAGAUAUAGAAAGAAGGAAAAAUAUUCUUGACAAGAAAAUUAGUUUUCUUGGUCUUUCACAUUUUAGCUAUAGUUUUUGAGAAAAACUUUAGCAUAAUAUUUCCAUUCAAUUUGUUCGCGGGUUUCAUUUAUCAAAGAGUUGAUAAGCAAGGAUCGGUCUCGGUGUGGAUACGCAUAGAGUCUUCGCACUAUCGAAGAAAUUUCAGAAAAGAAACUCUCUUCACCAGGUACGCCUUAAAUCUUAUUUUUAUACGUAAAUAAAUUUUUUAAAAAAAGAGAAAAUCUACCUAGGAUUGUUAUUGUCUUCCGCUGCGUGUUACGAACACCCAUACGCAAUCCGACAGUGGUAUCAAAGCCAGGUUUAUCAUGUACUUAUUGCCAAAGGAGCUGAUGAAGGGUCCCAUGAAGUCUAUCCCCCGUACAUCGAGCACUUUAACCUCUUGAAAUAGGUUCAGGGGCAUCUCAUGGCGACGGGAGAUGUUCCAGGUUUGUUGACAUCUAUCACAGCCCUUCACCCAUUGAUGUGCAUCCUUAAACACAGUUGUCCAGUAGAACUCGACUUCUAGAACUUUUUCUAUCAUCCCGACUCUUCCAAAAUGUCAGCCAUAUGCCGACGCGUGUAUGCCUGCAAAACAGAAGGGAACCCAAAUUUCCUACUUGUGUCAACACGUCAUCAGAAAUACCUUAGGGUCUUUUCACAGUUCUAUCAGCCAGCUGCAACAACAUAGACGUGGGUCUAGCUCUUUAACCUCUUAUAUCUCACCAUGGGCAUAAGAUUUAUGCUAGCCCCCAACACAUAGAGUGCCUUGGCAAAGGCAAAGUUACAAAUAGUGUAGGGAAUUGAAACUCCAUGGAUCAGACAACUUUUUUAAAACUAGUCUAGUCACCACAGCACUGUAGGUCUGAGUUAGAGCCACUAUGGCCAAGUCUUGGAAGUCGAAUUUUCGGGACAUCAAGUCCUUCAUCAUUUUUUCAUAACCAGACAUUUCCUUCAAAGCAUUAAUCAAUGGAAUACUUACGUGAAUUUGUUUCAACAUCUCCAAAAAUUUCUUGUAUUGUUCAUUUUUCUGGUAUUUGGCCAGCCUCUGUGGGAAUGGUGUUGGAGGUCUCUUCUUCCCGGUGAUUUGGGUUUUCUCUUUGUCAAACAUCACCUCAACUAUAGGUUCCUGGGCUAUCUUAGCUUCUUUCUCAACCUCAAUUUGUGUGUGGUUUCUUCCUUGGAAGGUUGUACAAUCACCUCUGUCAGUUUUGCUGAAUCAUCCAGUUCAAUGGGCACUAGUACAAGUGUCUCAGCAUGUCUGCUUUCUCGAGCCCUCUUUUGCUCCAAGUCCAUGUCUUUGCCAUUACGCAGACUCACUUCCAUCAGCUGCUUUGGGCCUUGAUCUUUUGGAUUUACCUGAGUGUCUGCAUGCAAUGUCCCAUGAGGACGAUUAUUCAAAGACAUUGAGCCCAUUUGCACUUCAAUAUUCUUUAUGGUUGACUCAUGUGCAUCUACUCGUUCACUUAUUUUCACAUUUGACCCAAUAACAUGCUGCAUCAUUAGCUCGAGUCUAGCAAACUAAUUUCCUGUCUCCCACCAUGUUGCUGCUGAGGAGGAUGAUAACCAUAUUGAUGAUUUUGGUAGUUGUAUCCUUAUGGCCUUUGGUAGGGUGCUACAUUAUCGUAAGGUCGCAUGGCUCCCAUAUUUCCAUUGUUGUGUUGCAGCUGGACUAGCCUGUAUGGCUGAUUGUGUUAGCCCCAAUUUUGACCACCCUGUCUCUGGCAUCAAUAAUUAGACCCAUAAUUCAUGUUCUCAAGGUAAUGAUGAUGAUCACCUUCCGCAUUCCUUGGCUACCAAUUGGCUAACUAAUGGAAGAUGUGCAUAAGCCCCAUUGGUUGUAUCUAUCAUGUGAACAUGCUGCUUUUGCCCUGACUUUUCUACAUUUUUGGUAAGUAUGCUCAUUUAUGUCAUUAAGGUGGCCAUAUUUUCAGCAAGAGUGUUAGAUGGAUCUAAGUCCAUUAAAUGAACUACAAGAGUAAUAGGUGUAUUCCUGGUUGUCCACCCCGAAUUUUGUGCCAUCUUGUCAAGCAGGAUCUGGCUUUCUCUCAAUGAUUUGCUCAAGAAUGCUCUACCAGCUGAAGCAUCAAUAUUAGCCUUCACGCUAUUUGUUAGACCCAUGUAAAAUUGUUUCCCCAACUUCUGCUCUAGAAUACCAUGGUGCAGACAUAUAACAAACAUCCCUUUGAAUCGUUCCCAUGUUUCUUGCAAUGUUUCCAUUGGUUUCUGUCUAAAACUCAAAAUUUCAUCAAUUUGUUGAGCAGUCUUGCUGGGUGGAUGAAACUUAUUCACAAAUUGCUUGACUAACUCCUCCCAAAAUAUGAUGGAAUUAAUAGGGAGUGCAUUUAGCCAAGUCUAGGCAGUUCCUGUCACUAAGAAUGGAACCAACAACAACUUUAUUACUUCCUGAGUUAUGUUGGGCUGCCUUUGAGUUUUGCAGAUUGUUAGGAAAUUCUUCAAGUAUUGUUGAGGAUCUUCAAAACCCAAAAAUAGUCCCUUGUUUUGCAACAAGUGCAACAUGUUGUUUGUGAUUUGAAAAGAUUCAGCCUAUAUCUGCGGGACUACUAUCGCUGUGGCCAAAUUCUCUGUUGUGGGUUGCGCCAAUCAUAUAGAGGAGACUCUAGCACAAGAGGCGCCAUUACCUGCGUAGCUGGGUCUACCACAUUAUCCCCAUUGUUAUUUUUGUUGUUUACCAGCUCUGACAUGUCUAGUUCGAGUUGUUCAGUUGAUUGUUGUUGUUUGUUUUUCUAGUUUGCACGAUUCAAGGCCUUAAAAACUUUCUCGAGAUCUGAUAAUGCUUCUAACACUUCACCAGUUCUCGAUGAGUUUCUAGGCAUGUACAUGUACAACCAAGUUAGCAAAUGUUAAAUUUCAAUGUAUGGAUUGAAAAUGAAGAAAACUGACUACACUGAGAAUUUUUGAAUUUCUUUCAAGUGUAAUUGAUAACACCGUUAAUUCCCUAGCAACCGCACCAAAAUUUGAUCAUGCGCAAUUAUGCGUUAUAAAAAGAACAAAGCAAUCGUUGCAAAUAUAAUCCGGGUAUUUAGCUUAGAGUCGAAUCCCACAGGGAAUUAACCUACCAAUUACUUUUGUCAGAUUCACUGAAUUCUCUGUAAUCAACUUCCCAGAUAUUUUGAAUAACACUUGGUGAUAUUUAUACUAACUAUAACUAAAUAAAAUUAAGUAAAAGCUAACUAUGACUAAGUUGUAAACAAAUAAGAGAAGGAUCUAAGGUUGUGAUAUCCCCUAUCGAUGAAAUCUCUUCUUGUUAUGUUUCGUAUAGAUUUGCCUAAUUGUCUCUAUCGAUCGUGAGCACUCUUACUACCGUAAAUAUCUCCCGAGUAAUAAUGACAAUUUACUAGACGCACUCUCCCGAGUUAUGCUAGCUGGCUUUUAUUACAGCUCACUUAGAUCGCACCCAAGGUUUCAUAAUCCCUAAUCUCACCUUUAAACCCUCGAUUAUUGAUUCCUCAUAUACUUUGAGAGUGGUGUUAUUUAAGAACUACCUAAAUAUGCACUCUUUUCCGAGUAAUACAUAUUAAAUAGGCAUACCUAAAUACUACAACAAAAACGUAGUUGAACAAAUAGAGAUUAAACUGGGC